CACGGGGGGAACGCGAAGACCUUACCUGGCCUUGACAUCCGCGGAACUCGGCAGAAAUGCCUUGGUGCCUUCGGGAAUCGCGAGACAGGUGCUGCAUGGCUGUCGUUAGCUCGUGUCGUGAGAUGUUGGGUUAAGUCCCGCAACGAGCGCAACCCUUGUCCUUAGUUGCCAUCAUUAAGUUGGGAACUCUAAGGAGACCGCCGGUGACAAACCGGAGGAAGGUGGGGAUGACGUCAAGUCAUCAUGGCCCUUAUGGCCAGGGCUACACACGUGCUACAAUGGGCGGUACAGAGGGUUGCCAACCCGCGAGGGGGAGCUAAUCCCAAAAAGCCGUUCGUAGUCCGGAUCGGAGUCUGCAACUCGACUCCGUGAAGUCGGAAUCGCUAGUAAUCGCAGAUCAGCAUUGCUGCGGUGAAUACGUUCCCGGGUCUUGUACACACGC
rnacentral:rRNA from 1 species